rnacentral:rRNA from 1 species
UACGUAGGGUGCGAGCGUUGUCCGGAAUUAUUGGGCGUAAAGAGCUCGUAGGCGGUGUGUCACGUCGGCCGUGAAAACCUGCAGCUUAACUGUGGGCGUGCGGUCGAUACGGGCAUCACUGGAGUUCGGCAGGGGAGACUGGAAUUCCUGGUGUAGCGGUGAAAUGCGCAGAUAUCAGGAGGAGCACCGAUGGCGAAGGCAGGUCUCUGGGCAUUAACUGACGCUGAGGAGCGAAAGCAUGGGGAGCGAACAGG